AUUGAACGCUGGCGGCAUGCCUUACACAUGCAAGUCGAACGGCAGCACGGGAGCAAUCCUGGUGGCGAGUGGCGAACGGGUGAGUAAUAUAUCGGAACGUGCCCAGUCGUGGGGAUAACGUAGCGAAAGCUACGCUAAUACCGCAUACGAUCUAAGGAUGAAAGCGGGGGAUCGCAAGACCUCGCGCGAUUGGAGCGGCCGAUAUCAGAUUAGGUAGUUGGUGGGGUAAAGGCUCACCAAGCCAACGAUCUGUAGCUGGUCUGAGAGGACGACCAGCCACACUGGGACUGAGACACGGCCCAGACUCCUACGGGAGGCAGCAGUGGGGAAUUUUGGACAAUGGGCGGCAAGACCUCGAUCCAGCAAUGCCGCGUGCAGGA
rnacentral:rRNA from 1 species